rnacentral:lncRNA from 1 species
CCUUGUCCACACUUAAAUGAGCUUGUAAAUUAUGCGGAGCUAACUGCUGUACAGCUGACCCAAGGUGUCGUAAAGUAUCACCAUAUGAAAGUGGUUCAUCUAAAGCUUUCUGGUCCCGUGGAAUAGCAGGUGUGAUUGUUCUCUGGUCCCGUGGAAUAGCAGGUGCGAUUGUUCUGUGACUAAUAUGAGAUGUGGUAUGCAAACCUCUUCUGUUUUCCCUGCUCGUAAAAGGUCGUUUUUCACCGCGAAAGAAGUUUAC